UACGGGGGGGGCAAGCGUUGUUCGGAAUUACUGGGCGUAAAGGGCGCGUAGGCGGCCUCCUAAGUCAGACGUGAAAUCCCCCGGCUUAACCUGGGAACUGCGUCUGAUACUGGAAGGCUUGAGGAUGGGAGAGGGAUGUAGAAUUCCAGGUGUAGCGGUGAAAUGCGUAGAUAUCUGGAGGAACACCGGUGGCGAAGGCGGCAUCCUGGACCGGUAUUGACGCUGAGGCGCGAAAGCCAGGGGAGCAAACGGG
rnacentral:rRNA from 1 species